GGGGAAAAGAAACCAACCGGGAUUGCCUUAGUAACGGCGAGUGAAGCGGCAAAAGCUCAAAUUUGAAAUCUGGUACCUUCGGUGCCCGAGUUGUAAUUUGGAGAGGGCAACUUUGGGGCCGUUCCUUGUCUAUGUUCCUUGGAACAGGACGUCAUAGAGGGUGAGAAUCCCGUGUGGCGAGGAGUGCGGUUCUUUGUAAAGUGCCUUCGAAGAGUCGAGUUGUUUGGGAAUGCAGCUCUAAGUGGGUGGUAAAUUCCAUCUAAAGCUAAAUAUUGGCGAGAGACCGAUAGCGAACAAGUACAGUGAUGGAAAGAUGAAAAGAACUUUGAAAAGAGAGUGAAAAAGUACGUGAAAUUGUUGAAAGGGAAGGGCAUUUGAUCAGACAUGGUGUUUUGUGCCCUCUGCUCCUUGUGGGUAGGGGAAUCUCGCAUUUCACUGGGCCAGCAUCAGUUUUGGUGGCAGGAUAAAUCCAUAGGAAUGUAGCUUGCCUCGGUAAGUAUUAUAGCCUGUGGGAAUACUGCCAGCUGGGACUGAGGACUGCGACGUAAGUCAAGGAUGCUGGCAUAAUGGUUAUAUGCCGCCC
rnacentral:rRNA from 1 species